GACGAACGCUGGCGGCGUGCUUAACACAUGCAAGUCGAACGGAAAGGCCCUGCUUGCAGGGUACUCGAGUGGCGAACGGGUGAGUAACACGUGGGUGAUCUGCCCUGCACUUCGGGAUAAGCUUGGGAAACUGGGUCUAAUACCGGAUAGGAACCAUCUUUAGUGUGGUGGUUGGAAAGUUUUUUCGGUGUAGGAUGAGCUCGCGGCCUAUCAGCUUGUUGGUGGGGUAAUGGCCUACCAAGGCGGCGACGGGUAGCCGGCCUGAGAGGGUGUACGGCCACAUUGGGCCUGAGAUACGGCCCAGACUCCUACGGGAGGCAGCAGUGGGGAAUAUUGCACAAUGGGCGCAAGCCUGAUGCAGCGACGCCGCGUGGGGGAUGAAGGCCUUCGGGUUGUAAACUCCUUUCGCUAGGGACGAAGCUUUGUUGUGACGGUACCUAGAUAAGAAGCACCGGCUAACUACGUG
rnacentral:rRNA from 1 species